rnacentral:lncRNA from 1 species
CAUAUCAACAUGUUUCUAUACUACAUCUAAUGUAUGUAUUAAACAAUAGAUCAGAUCUAUUACCUUGCAAGUUAGACAUUCUAACCUCACUGAUCCGGGCUUGAGGAUGAUGUUGCAAGCCGCACAUACAUCCGACCUCUAAGAGUUAUCCACACGAGCCCACGAAUCUCGAUCAGAAGUCCUGCUUCAGGAAAUCAGCACAAUAUGCUAGUACUGCGCUGAUCCUUCUUCGAUGGUUGAUCAGG